rnacentral:lncRNA from 1 species
GCAAUGGCCCUCAUUGGGUACGCGACUGUCCGGGAAAAAAGUCGCUCAAUGCUCUUGCUGCCCAACUAAAGAGCAACCCCACAGUGUCCUCGGAGGAACCCCAACUCUGCAUGGAUUCUCUCCAACGCCUCGGCGCACUUAAUCGCCAACAACCCACACCCAUCAAGAAAGGGCUCAUGUAUGUAAGCGCAAAGAUAAAUGGCCAGUCCGUUCACGCGCUGCUAGACACGGGAGCGACGGACAACUUCGUGACCAUAGACGAGGCCAAGCGACUAGGCCUCAAGGCCAACAAGGAAGGAGGCAUAAUGAAGGCGGUAAACUCACCUGCCAAAUAAGCGACAAGAUAAAUAGCCAGUCCGUUUGUGCUCUGCUAGACACGUGAGCGACAGACAACUUUGUGACCAUAGACGAGGCCAAGCGCUUAGGCCUCAAUGCCACCAAGGAAGGAGGCAUUAUGAAGGCGGUAAACUCACCCGCCAAGCCAAUUGCGGGGACUGCACAAGGCGUGCACUUAACACUUGGAACGUGGAGUGGAAAGCUCGAUUUCUCUAUUGUGCCCAUGGAUGACUCCUUGGCAUGGAAUUCUUCGACCACGCCCAUGCCUUCCCGCUGCCCGCUACAAACUCCCUAAGCAUACUUGACAGGAGUAAGGCAUGCAUGGUACCCGUGGAGAGAGGCAAGUCCGAGGAGAAGACACUCUCAGCCAUGCAAUUCAAGAAGGCUUUCAAGAAGGACCCAAGCUUCUUGGUCUCCAAUCGGGAACUAAACGAGGAAGGAAAUAGCGGAAUAUCGCCAACCCAAGUCCCUCCACGAAUUCAAGCCAUCUUUAAUGAGUACAAGGAUGUGAUGCCGCCAGAACUUCCGAAGAAGCUCCCACCUCGGCGAGAGGUAGAUCAUGCGAUCGAGCUGGAACAAGGCGCGAAGCCACCAGCCUUGGCGCCCUACCGCAUGGCGCCACCCGAACUUGAGGAGUUGCGGAGACAACUCAAAGAUUUGCUGGAUGCGGGAUACAUCCGUCGUCUCGUAUCAACUCCAGCUUCCACCAAGACUCAAGAUCCAUCCGGUCUUCCAUUUGAGUCUUCUCAAGCCAUAUCACGAAGACAUGGGAGACCCAAGUCGCGGAAAAUCGAGCCGUGCACCAACCGCCGUUGUCACCGCAUUCGACAAAGAUGUGGACCACAU